UAAUAAUAAAUUAACAUUUUCAGAAAAAACUUUCCGCUUUUUUGAUUUACCUUAUCUAAGUAAAGAACUAACUUAUACGUGUAUGGUUAUUCUCUCAAUUUCAAGGCAUGUUAUUUGGUUCUUUAGAUCUCAAAAAGUGUAUAAUAAGAGAAGUGCAACUAAACGAGUUACUUUGGAUAAAUUUUUCUCAUUGUUAAGAUUAAGAAUUAUCUUAGAUUUUAAAAGAUUGUCGUCUUUAGAUUUUAUUAAUUGUUGGAGUCAACAUGAUAUUUGCACUUUAAACGCGGAUGAUGUAUCUUUUAACAAAAACCUAUAUACUGAGCACUAUACUAAAUUUCUGUAAAACAUAUAUUUCAGUCUAUUAUUGUAUAUAUUUCAGGUGUAUAAUUGGGUAGUAUAACGGAACAGUACUUUGUUUUUUCAUAUAUAGUUGGUUAAAGAACAGUGUCUUUUUAUGUGGAAAUUAUGUCUUCUUUAUUAAGAUUGGAGUUUGUUUAAAACGGAAAACUACAUGAACUAUGUGAAUCAGUAAUUUAUUUUUGAUUUUGAUUCUUAUCACUUUGUUUUGAUAAAGAUGUUUUUAGAUUUUAAAAUCUCCUGUUCAUUUUCGCAAUUUCCCGGGAUGAAUGUUUUUGUUCCGACAUACUUCGCGGGGUGUUGCGAUCAUGUUACCGGAGUUUCUUUUUCAAAAAAUACAUAAACAACUCCAAUAGAUCUUUCUGUGUUUUAUUGUAAACAUGACCAUUAAUUAAUUAUUAAUUUAUAUAUUUGUAUUGUUUUCUCGCACAAGUGUUUAUUAUCACUAUGGACUAUGAACAUUUCGAUCAUCAUGGACAUUGGAAACAUCAUGGACUAUGAACUUUCAGUGAAUUGUGUGAACAUUUAGUGAAUUGUGUGAACAUUUAGUGAAUUACUUUUUAUGAUAAGUGCGAGCGCGUUAAGUGUUUAAUAUUAAUUCUCUUAUAAAUGGUCAUGUCCCCUUGUGCUUUACACAUGGGGUUUUUAUUUGUACAUAUAUAUAUGAAAUAAAAUUUUAUGAAAAACAAAAAAAAA